rnacentral:rRNA from 1 species
GACGAGGGAUCCUAGCGUUGUUCGGAAUUACUGGGCGUAAAGCGUACGUAGGCGGUUAUUCAAGUCAGAGGUGAAAGCCUGGAGCUCAACUCCAGAACUGCCUUUGAAACUAGAUAGCUAGAAUCUUGGAGAGGUGAGUGGAAUUCCGAGUGUAGAGGUGAAAUUCGUAGAUAUUCGGAAGAACACCAGUGGCGAAGGCGACUCACUGGACAAGUAUUGACGCUGAGGUACGAAAGCGUGGGGAGCAAACAGG